rnacentral:rRNA from 1 species
AACGAACGCUGGCGGCAGGCCUAACACAUGCAAGUUGAACGCUGUAGCAAUACAGAGUAGCGCACGGGUGCGUAACGCGUGGGAAUAUGCCCUUCACUGCGGAAUAACGUUUGGAAACGAACGCUAAUACCGCAUAACGACUCCGGUCCAAAGAUUUAUCGGUGAAGGAUUAGCCCGCGUUAGAUUAGCUAGUUGGUGAGGUAACGGCUCACCAAGGCGACGAUCUAUAGCUGGUCUGAGAGGAUGAUCAGCCACACUGGGACUGAGACACGGCCCAGACUCCUACGGGAGGCAGCAGUGAGGAAUAUUGGACAAUGGGGGCGAACCCUGAUCCAGCCAUGCCGCGUGAGUGAAGAAGGCC